GGCUGAAUAGAGGUAAACUGUUCUUAGUUAAAGAUAGUUGGAUUCAAGGCAUAGCUAAAAUCCCAUAUUGUGUCUGCUCUUUUCAGUAUUGAGAGGGUCUAAAAGUACU